rnacentral:rRNA from 1 species
CCUACGGGAGGCAGCAGUGAGGAAUAUUGGACAAUGGUCGAAAGACUGAUCCAGCCAUGCCGCGUGCAGGAUGACUGCCCUAUGGGUUGUAAACUGCUUUUAUACGGGAAGAAAAACACCUACGUGUAGGUGACUGACGGUACCGUAAGAAUAAGGACCGGCUAACUCCGUGCCAGCAGCCGCGGUAAUACGGAGGGUCCAAGCGUUAUCCGGAAUCAUUGGGUUUAAAGGGUCCGUAGGCGGGCUAUUAAGUCAGAGGUGAAAGUUUGCAGCUCAACUGUAAAAUUGCCUUUGAUACUGAUAGUCUUGAAUUGUAGUGAAGUGGUUAGAAUAUGUGGUGUAGCGGUGAA